rnacentral:rRNA from 1 species
UACGGGGGGAGCAAGCGUUGUUCGGAAUUACUGGGCGUAAAGGGUUUGUAGGUGGCUUGUUAAGUCAGACGUGAAAUCCCUCAGCUUAACUGGGGAACUGCGUCUGAUACUGGCGAGCUUGAGUGCAGGAGAGGAACGCGGAAUUCCAGGUGUAGCGGUGAAAUGCGUAGAUAUCUGGAGGAACACCGGUGGCGAAGGCGGCGUUCUGGACUGCAACUGACACUGAGAAACGAAAGCCAGGGUAGCAAACGGG